rnacentral:snoRNA from 1 species
AAGUUUCUUUCUCCAUCAAAUCUAUGCGCUGGUCGGAGUGGUUGUAAAAGCAACAAAAUUAAAAUUGAAACUGACUUCAAUACUUUUGUAGCAUCGGAGCUAGUUUCAAACAAAC